UACGUAGGGGGCAAGCGUUGUCCGGAUUUAUUGGGCGUAAAGAGCGUGUAGGCGGCCAGACAAGUCUGCUGUGAAAACUCGAGGCUCAACCUCGAGCUGUCGGUGGAAACUGUCUGGCUAGAGUCCGGAAGAGGAGAGUGGAAUUCCUGGUGUAGCGGUGAAAUGCGCAGAUAUCAGGAAGAACACCAAUGGCGAAAGCAGCUCUCUGGGACGGUACUGACGCUGAGAGACGAAAAGCUAGGGGAGCGAAUGGG
rnacentral:rRNA from 1 species